rnacentral:snoRNA from 1 species
GGUCCCUGUUAAGGCUGACGCAGUGCCUGAAGAGGCUAACACAGAAGGGUAAGGUAAGUCUCCGUAAAACCCAGGGAAGAGGUUGUAGAACUCCUCUUUGGAUCCUGUCUGGAGUCACGGCU